UGAGGAAUAUUGGUCAAUGGCCGGAAGGCUGAACCAGCCAAGCCGCGUGGAGGAAGAAGGCGCAGAGCGUCGCAGACUCCUUUUGUCGGGGGGACAAACGGCCGCACGCGUGCGGCUCUGAGGGGUACCCGAAGAAAAAAGCAUCGGCUAACUCCGUGCCAGCAGCCGCGGUAAUACGGAGGAUGCGAGCGUUAUCCGGAUUCAUUGGGUUUAAAGGGUGCGUAGGCGGCGUCUUAAGCCGGCGGUGAAAUCGCGGGGCUCAACCCCGCCGAGCCGUCGGAACUGGGAUGCUCGAGUGUCGGCGAGGCAUGCGGAAUGCGCGGUGUAGCGGUGAAAUGCAUAGAUAUCGCGCAGAACCCCGAUUGCGAAGGCAGCGUGCCAGCCGCCCACUGACGCUGAGGCACGAAAGCGCGGGUAUCGAACAGGAUUAGAUACC
rnacentral:rRNA from 1 species